GACGAACGCUGGCGGCGUGCUUAACACAUGCAAGUCGAACGGUGAAGGGGCCUGCUUUUUUGGGCCCUGGUUGAGUGGCGCACGUGUGUGUCACACGUGAGUAACCUGCCCCCUUCUUCUGGAUCACCGCAUGAAAGUGUGUCUAAUACGGGAUAUUCUUGGUCUGUCGCAUUCUGGGUCUGGGAAAGGUUGCGCCUUUGGUUGUUUUUGGUUGGGGGUGGGCUCGCGGGCUAUCAGCUUGUUGGUGAUGGGAUGGCCUCGCAAGGAGGUGGCGGUUAGCCGGGAGGAGAGGGUGGACGGUCAGACUGGGACUGAGACACGGCCCAGACUCCGACGGGAGGGAGCAGUGGGGACUAUUACACAAUGAGGGCAAGCCUGAUGAAGCGACGCAGCGUGAGGGAGGGAGGCGUUCGGGUUGUAAUCCUCUUUCGCAAGUGAAGCAGGGCUGCUACUUGUGGGUGGGUUGACGGUAGCUGGAUAAAAAGCGCCGGCUAACUACGUG
rnacentral:rRNA from 1 species